ACUGACUGAUGUGGAAACUGAUAUUCAGAGGUUUCCAAGAAGUUGCAUCAGCUGCUCACAUUUGCAUGAGAAAAUGAGAGAGGAAGAACAUCGCAUGGAAGAGAAUUGCAGGUGUGAAACAUAUUUCACACCCAAAGAAAUACCGGGGAAAAAAAGGAGGUCCUCGUAAGGAGCGCAGAACUAACAAGCUACCACCAACCCGAAGAAUUUGGGAAAGGUCAAAAGGAGAGAGGAGACUCCAGUCCAUAUGUCCUACCAACCUCCCAGAAUCCUUCUCGCUGUAAUCCAUCUUGGCUGAGUGAUGCGCGCGCCACCAGGAAGGACCCUGAGUCAGAUUGAUUGGCCAGAGACAACCCAGAAACUAACCCCAUUACCAUAAAACCCGAGACUGCGAGCCAUGUGGCAGAGCAGUUCUCCUGGGUUCCCUUACCCUG